AACGAACGCUGGCGGCAUGCCUAACACAUGCAAGUCGAACGAGACCUUCGGGUCUAGUGGCGCACGGGUGCGUAACGCGUGGGAAUCUGCCCUUAGGUUCGGAAUAACUUCGGGAAACUGAAGCUAAUACCGGAUGAUGACGUAAGUCCAAAGAUUUAUCGCCUAAGGAUGAGCCCGCGUUGGAUUAGCUAGUUGGUGAGGUAAAGGCUCACCAAGGCGACGAUCCAUAGCUGGUCUGAGAGGAUGAUCAGCCACACUGGGACUCGAGACACGGCCCAGACUCCUACGGGAGGCAGCAGUGGGGAAUAUUGGGACAAUGGGCGAAAGCCUGAUCCAGCAAUGCCGCGUGAGUGA
rnacentral:rRNA from 1 species